rnacentral:rRNA from 1 species
GACAGAGGGUGCAAACGUUGUUCGGAAUUACUGGGCGUAAAGCGCGUGUAGGCUGCUCGGAAAGUCGGAUGUGAAAGCCCUGGGCUCAACCUAGGAAGUGCAUUCGAAAACUACCGAGCUGGAGUUCUGGAGAGGAAGGCGGAAUUCUCGGUGUAGAGGUGAAAUUCGUAGAUAUCGAGAGGAACACCGGUGGCGAAGGCGGCCUUCUGGACAGUGACGUGACGCUGAGACGCGAAAGCGUGGGGAGCAAACAGG